rnacentral:rRNA from 1 species
AGUAAAAGUCGUAACAAGGUUUCCGUAGGUGAACCUGCGGAAGGAUCAUUAACGAGUAAAUUGAACGGGUUGUAAGCUGACCUUCUUCUUCUCAAGAGGAAGAAGGUAUGUGCACGCCUGGCUCAUCCACUCUUUCAACCUCUGUGCACUUAUUGUAGGUUUGGGUGAAAGGGCACAAAGUUCUAAUUUUUCAAUUAGGGACUUUUGCUUGGAAACCUUUUCCUAUGUCUUUUUACAAACGUCUCAGUCAUCAGAAUGUUAUGUCUGCGUGUAUAACGCAUAUGUUAUUAUAUAUAACUUUCAGCAACGGAUCUCUUGGCUCUCGCAUCGAUGAAGAACGCAGCGAAAUGCGAUAAGUAAUGUGAAUUGCAGAAUUCAGUGAAUCAUCGAAUCUUUGAACGCACCUUGCGCUCCCUGGUAUUCCGGGGAGCAUGCCUGUUUGAGUGUCAUGGUUAUUCUCAACCUUCAAUAACUUUAUUGUUAUCGAAGGCUUGGAUUUGGAGGCUUUUGUGCUGGCUUCUCGUUAAGUCGGCUCCUCUUAAAUGCAUUAGCGUGAGUUGUUAUAUAUAACAGAUCGCUUCGGUGUGAUAAUUUAUCUGCGCCGUGGUCGUGAAGUUUUAUAAACAAUAUGAGCUCUGCGCUUCUAGCCGUCCUUCAGCUGGACAAACCUUUGUGUAUUACUUUUGUACUACACUUAUGACAUCUGACCUCAAAUCAGGUAGGACUACCCGCUGAACUUAAGCAUAUC